CCUACGGGUGGCAGCAGUCGAGAAUCAUUCACAAUGGGGGAAACCCUGAUGGUGCGACGCCGCGUGGGGGAAUGAAGGUCUUCGGAUUGUAAACCCCUGUCAUGUGGGAGCAAAUUAAAAAGAUAGUACCACAAGAGGAAGAGACGGCUAACUCUGUGCCAGCAGCCGCGGUAAUACAGAGGUCUCAAGCGUUGUUCGGAAUCACUGGGCGUAAAGCGUGCGUAGGCUGUUUCGUAAGUCGUGUGUGAAAGGCGCGGGCUCAACCCGCGGACGGCACAUGAUACUGCGAGACUAGAGUAAGGGAGGGGGAACCGGAAUUCUCGGUGUAGCAGUGAAAUGCGUAGAUAUCGAGAGGAACACUCGUGGCGAAGGCGGGUUCCUGGACAUUGACUGACGCUGAGGCACGAAGGCCAGGGGAGCGAAAGGGAUUAGAUACCCGAGUAGUC
rnacentral:rRNA from 1 species